rnacentral:rRNA from 1 species
UACGGGGGGGGGCAAGCGUUGUUCGGAAUUACUGGGCGUAAAGGGCUCGUAGGCGGCCAACUAAGUCAGACGUGAAAUCCCUCAGCUUAACUGGGGAACUGCGUCUGAUACUGGAUGGCUUGGAUUCGGGAGAGGAAUGCGGAAUUCCAGGUGUAGCGGUGAAAUGCGUAGAUAUCUGGAGGAACACCGGGUGGCGAAGGCGGCAUUCUGGACCGAUAUUGACGCUGAGGAGCGAAAGCCAGGGGAGCAAACGGG